UAAAGAAAAAGUUAUCAUGUUUGAGGACCCCUAAUCAGCUUUCAAGGCACCUUAAUCUGAAUCUUCAGUGAAGUGGACAAGAAAAAAGAAAAGGAAACAUGAAAAAGCUACUAGCAACAAUUCUGUGGCUUCAACUAAGCUAUGCACCACCAUCAUUGGAGCCCCAGAAAAUCAAAGGAUGCUGGAUUCAGAGUGGUUCUGGCAUUUAUAUUGAGAAAGGAAACUAGAAGGCUUCAAAGAGCUCCAAGAAUGGGGUGUCUCACCUCAGACCAGCUGUACUAAGGAAGACAGAGGUCUACAUAAGCCCCAGCAAUAACUCUUUAAGUAUGGAUUGAUUGUUCUCUUCACCACUGUUUUCACUGCUAUAGCAUGGGGUCAGUAAUUGAGCAGCUUUCUCCAGGAAUGACUUGGAAACAUAAGAUGCUCACUGAAG